UAAAAUGUUUUGAUAUUCACUGAACAGACAUGCAAUUGCCUGCAUAGUCCUUUCUUAUUUGAAAGAUGAAUCCCUGUCGCUUGCAAGAUACACAAUCUCAUGCCCAUCGUGCAUAGCUAAUUCAUUGCAUUGGGGAGAGGUGGACUUUCCUGGUGAACCAGUAGCCCAGCCCCCUGGGCGUCAACACAUAGCUUCUGGUUCACCAGGAAAGAGGUGGACGCCGGAUGUAAACAAACUGAGAGGGGGUGUCACGUUGAGUAGCUUUGCAGAUGUAGGCAAAGAGAUUGGCACAUUACUAACGGUGUUGGACUACCAUAAAUUGUUGGGUAGCCAGCCACCCAUGCAUGUUGACACAGCCAGCAGCGGGCACCCAUGGCACAUGGGGAUGGACCCAGGAGUGGAGGAUGACCCAAUAGGAUGAACGUUCAGCCCACUCACUGUUGACACCAGUGACACAGUAUUGACCAGAUCUCCUGGAAGUGCCCCCUGACGCAGACCCAGUUGUUGGGUAGCCACCCAUGCACGUUGACACAGCCAGCACCGAGCACCCAGGGGGAUGGAACCAGGAAUGGAGGAUGGUCCAAUAGGGUAGCAUCAUGAAGGCAGUUUACCCCUGAAACUUUUUACAAAGGACCAUCAUCGUCAGAGAAGUUCCUUUAACCCUUUAUCUCCCAUAGCGGCCGUGAACGCCCGGCCACCUCUCUCCCAUAACGCCCGCCGACACCCGGAGUAUUUUCAUAGCUGAACAGAAGUCAUCAUGCAGUUUCUACAGCUUUCACUUUAGAUCACUAUUACAGGCUGUCAAUAUAUUUUUAUUAUAAAAACUAUUUUGGGAAAUCCUGAACUACAGUGCAAAGUGGCUGAGCUCAAAAGUACGGGCUCGCUGCUGCUGCCCAGUAGAAAAUAUCUUUUAAAUGCAGUACAGUUCCUAAUUGUGCGUUCAUGUGGUAAUUACGUAAAUACCAAACACUGACAUCCGAAGCACACAUGAACGCCACCGGCCCUUGUAGAAAAUUUUGAUUAAUGAAUGCACUAUAUCUCUUCUCUUGCCUCCCUCUCUUCUCCACAAGCUCUCCCCUCAUCUAAUCUCUUCAUUUUGCUAGUCCUCAUCUCUCUUUCUUCAUUGUGUUACUGUUUAAGCUGAUAACUGUUACUUUUAAAAAUUAAAUAGUUAAAGAUA